ensembl:snoRNA small nucleolar RNA SNORA36 family
UUCCAAAGUGUUGAGUUCAGUUCAGGGCAGUUCCCUGUUCUGUUAAUUAAACUUUGGGACAUUGAAACACAGGCUAGGGGAGAUGACCGGAUAGAAAACGUUGUUCUAUUCACUUACCUCCCAGCCUACAAAA